rnacentral:lncRNA from 1 species
GAACCUCUGUCCUCUCAGGCAUUCACCGCGUGGCUGGGAGGGCGCCAGGAGGCCGAGGCCGGGGCUGCCAUGCGCUCCCGGUGCCUCACCCCGCAGGUCGGUCCGCCUCGUGGGCUGUGGGGCAGACGACCGGGAAGCCCCGAGAUCUCCAGAUCCUCGAUCGGGACCGAAAAGGCCCUGAACUUGUGCAGUGACUUGCCAUUGAGUCCGGGAGGUUCUGGAGACCUGGGUGACGGAAGAACGCCCAAGGCCGACUGCUGCCCUCAGUUAUCGGGGCUCCACAUGGACCAAACCCAGCUGGCAGUCAGAGGGCAAGAGCAUCUCGAUGCAGCGCAUACAGGCCAAUUCCAGGGUGCAGUGCAGCAUGGAAAAGGAGAAAUGUACCUGAAGAGGCAAAUGAAAGAUAUACAGCGUCACAGGCAAUCUUGCUUCUACUACCAUAAAAAUAGUUUACGUUUCUUAGACACUUAGUCUGUGUCAGGCAUGUCCAUUAUCUCAUUGCAUCUUCCCAUAAACCCG